rnacentral:misc_RNA from 1 species
GAUGAAGAACGCAGCGAAAUGCGAUAAGUAAUGUGAAUUGCAGAAUCCAGUGAAUCAUCGAAUCUUUGAACGCACAUUGCGCCCGCCAGCAUUCUGGCGGGCCUGCCUGUUCGAGCGUCAUUUCAACCCUCGACCUCCCUUUGGGGAAGUCGGCGUUGGGGACCGGCAGCACACCGCCGGCCCUGAAAUGGAGUGGCGGCCCGUCCGCGGCGACCUCUGCGUAGUAAACCAACUCGCACCGGAACCCCGACGUGGCCACGCCGUAAAACACCCAACUUCUGAACGUUGACCUCGAAUCAGGUAGGACUACCCGCUGAACUUAAGCAUAUCAAUAAGCGGAGGA